rnacentral:rRNA from 1 species
UAACGCGAAGAACCUUACCUGGGUUUGACAUACGCCGGAAAGCAUCAGAGAUGGUGCCCCUUUUUGUCGGUGUACAGGUGGUGCAUGGCUGUCGUCAGCUCGUGUCGUGAGAUGUUGGGUUAAGUCCCGCAACGAGCGCAACCCUCGUUCCAUGUUGCCAGCAGGCCCUUCGGGGUGCUGGGGACUCAUGGGAGACUGCCGGGGUCAACUCGGAGGAAGGUGGGGAUGACGUCAAGUCAUCAUGCCCCUUAUGUCCAGGGCUUCACGCAUGCUACAAUGGCCGGUACAAAGGGCUGCGAUGCUGUAAGGCGGAGCGAAUCCCAAAAAGCCGGUCUCAGUUCGGAUUGGGGUCUGCAACUCGACCCCAUGAAGUCGGAGUCGCUAGUAAUCGCAGAUCAGCAACGCUGCGGUGAAUACGUUCCCGGGUCUUGUACAC